CAGCAAAAAAAAAAAACCUUAUCCCUUCUUCUUGUACGACGUACAAAACAUUAGAAAAAGAAAAAGUUUUCCCCAAAUUGAAAUCUAGGUUUUUCGACUGCACCGUGAAGCUCGUCGCCGGCUUCCUUUCGCUUCAAUUCUGAUGUCAUAUCUUGGCGAAAAAGUGGAUAACAUGUAUCGGUUAAGUGUCUUUCUAACUCAAUUUUUAUUUGCUUCAUUCUCUUAUUAUCUCUCUCUACCCAGAUCCGAGUUUGCGAGAUCUCAAGCUGCCUUAACAACAAAAUCCUCCAGUUUUGCUCUCAAAGCUUUCAUCUUUCUUUCAACUACUUAAGCUCCAGAUCAUGUUCAUGAGGUAUAGAGAAAAGAAAAGACAAAUUAACUCUUCUAUGAUUCACAACUUUCAGGCUCUAGUUCUCCUACUCAAUUCACCAUCGGUAAGUAAAACUCUUCCAAUCUUAGUUUCAGUAUUAUGAAUCAAUGUGUGUGUGUGUGGAAACUAUGCAGUAGGAUGACGAAGCACAGUGAGCAGCUGAAAAGAAAGACUUGACAUUCAUUAUUACGGAGUGUAUCAAAGGGUGUUAUUCUUCCAAAACUUUAAGUUCCAAAAAUUAGUUAUUUGUUUUAUGUAAUGUAACUAUGUAUGUAAAAUUUGUUUUGUGGAAUGUGAAUGUUCUCCAUAAUUUAUAUAAUACUAGAUAAAGGAUG